UGCAAGAUUAAGACAGAGGCCAUAUUGUU
rnacentral:piRNA from 1 species